rnacentral:misc_RNA from 1 species
UACGGAGGGUGCAAGCGUUGUCCGGAAUUAUUGGGUGUAAAGGGUGCGCAGGCGGAAGCCUAAGUCGAGGGUGAAAGACGACCGCUCAACGGUCGCAGUGCCUUCGAUACUGGGUUUCUUGAGUCCGGAAGAGGUUGGUGGAAUUCGUGGUGUAGCGGUGAAAUGCAUAGAGAUCACGAAGAACACCAGUGGCGAAGGCGGCCAACUGGUCCGGCACUGACGCUGAGGCACGAGAGCGUGGGGAGCGAACAGG